UACGAAGGGGGCUAGCGUUGCUCGGAAUCACUGGGCGUAAAGCGCGCGUAGGCGGAUCUGCAAGUCGGGGGUGAAAUCCCGAGGCUCAACCUCGGAACUGCCUUCGAUACUGCGGGUCUCGAGUCCGGGAGAGGUGAGUGGAAUUCCUAGUGUAGAGGUGAAAUUCGUAGAUAUUAGGAAGAACACCAGUGGCGAAGGCGGCUCACUGGCCCGGUACUGACGCUGAGGCGCGAAAGCGUGGGGAGCAAACAGG
rnacentral:rRNA from 1 species